rnacentral:rRNA from 1 species
AACGAACGCUGGCGGCAGGCUCAACACAUGCAAGUCGAACGCGUGUAGCAAUACACGAGUGGCGCACGGGUGAGUAACGCGUGGAUAUCUGCCUUUUGGUUCGGAAUAACCCCGGGAAACUGGGGCUAAUACCGGAUGGUUCCUACGGGAUAAAGAUUUAUCGCCAAAAGAUGAGUCCGCGUACGAUUGGCUAGUUGGUGAGGUAAUGGCUCACCAAGGCGACGAUCGUUAGCUGGUCUGAGAGGACGAUCAGCCACACUGGGACUGAGACACGGCCCAGACUCCUACGGGAGGCAGCAGUGGGGAAUAUUGGACAAUGGGGGCAACCCUGAUCCAGCCAUGCCGCGUGAGUGAUGAAGGCCUUCGGGUUGUAAAGCUCUUUUGGCGGGGACGAUGAUGACGGUACCCGCAGAAUAAGCCCCGGCUAACUUCGUGCCAGCCGCCGCCGUAACAC